rnacentral:rRNA from 1 species
UACAGAGGGUGCGAGCGUUAAUCGGAAUUACUGGGCGUAAAGCGCGCGUAGGCGGCUUUGCAAGUCGGGUGUGAAAUCCCCAGGCUUAACCUGGGAACUGCAUUCGAGACUGCAUUGCUAGAGUAUGGGAGAGGGAAGUGGAAUUUCCGGUGUAGCGGUGAAAUGCGUAGAGAUCCGGAAGAACACCGGUGGCGAAGGCGGUGAGCUGGGCAGUUGCUGACACUGAGGCGCGACAGCGUGGGGAGCAAACAGG